CAGCUGUUGUCGAGAGAAGGGUCUCCAGAGAUGGGUGGACAACUCGCAAGGUGUCCACGAAGCCCCCCGUGACAGCCAAUUCAUCACGUUACCCAUCUAAGGGUGAACGUCCUGCCUGGAGAUCUUCUCCACCUCAGCAGGAGAGUUAUACGCAGAGCCAGAGGGACAAAUCUGAGUCCCAGGCACCUCCAGCAGCUGCUUCAGCUCCAAUCACAG